rnacentral:rRNA from 1 species
GGCCUUUUGAUUAUAAUAUAAGGUCUGGCCUGCUCUAUGAGGUAUUAAAUGGCCGCAGUAAUUUGACUGUGCUAAGGUAGCAUAAUCAUUAGUUUCUUAAUUAGGGGCUGGAAUGAAAGGUUUGAUGAGAGGAUAACUGUCUCUGGUUUUUUUCUAGAAUUUUAUUUUUAAGUGAGAAAGCUUAAAUUUUUUUGAAAGACGAGAAGACCCUAUAGAGUUUUAUAAGUUUUUUUUUAUCUAUUUAUGAAAAUUAUUAUAAUAAAGAAUUGGCUUAUUUGGUUGGGGUGAUUAUAAAAUUUAUUUAACUUUUAUUAUUUCAGUUCCACUAAUUAGUGCUUGUUUGAUCCGGUAAGUCCGAUUAUAAGAAUAAAUUACCUUAGGGAUAACAGCGUAAUCUUUUUUUAGAGUUCUAAUCGAGAAAAGGGGUUGCGA